GUGCUUGCCUCGGCAGCACAUACACUAAAAUUGGAACCAUACCGAGAUGAUUAGGUUGGCCCCUGACCAAAGUAUGGUAUUUAUUUAAAGAUAAGUUUGAAUUGCCC
rnacentral:snRNA from 1 species